UCCCUGAUGGCUUAGUGGUAAAGAGUCUGCCUGCAAUGCAGGAGACACAAGUUUGACUCCUUGAUUGGGAA
rnacentral:tRNA from 1 species